CGCGGCCUAUCAGCUUGUUGGUGAGGUAAUGGCUCACCAAGGCGACGACGGGUAGCCGGCCUGAGAGGGCGACCGGCCACACUAGGACUGAGACACGGCCCAGACUCCUACGGGAGGCAGCAGUGGGGAAUAUUGCACAAUGGGCGAAAGCCUGAUGCAGCGACGCCGCGUGAGGGAUGACGGCCUUCGGGUUGUAAACCUCUUUCAGCAGGGAAGAAGCGAAAGUGACGGUACCUGCAGAAGAAGCACCGGCUAACUACGUGCCAGCAGCCGCGGUAAUACGUAGGGUGCGAGCGUUGUCCGGAAUUAUUGGGCGUAAAGAGCUUGUAGGCGGUUUGUCGCGUCUGCUGUGAAAAUCCGGGGCUCAACCCCGGACUUGCAGUGGGUACGGGCAGACUAGAGUGUGGUAGGGGAGACUGGAAUUCCUGGUGUAGCGGUGAAAUGCGCAGAUAUCAGGAGGAACACCGAUGGCGAAGGCAGGUCUCUGGGCCACUACUGACGCUGAGAAGCGAAAGCAUGGGGAGCGAACAGGAUUAGAUACCCUGGUAGUCCAUGCCGUAAACGUUGGGAACUAGGUGUGGGUCUCAUUCCACGAGAUCCGUGCCGCAGCUAACGCAUUAAGUUCCCCGCCUGGGGA
rnacentral:rRNA from 1 species